AUCUUUGAAGCAAUACAUUAUCUGAUUCCUAAAAUAUCAUACUACAUACUAAAUUAAUUCACUGCUUCUGAUAUCAAUUUUGAUAUCAUUUUCACAAUGCGAAACAACUAAUCACGUCAUGAAGUAUCUUUUUUAAAUACUCUUUUCAUACUAUAUGAAAAAACUAAUCCCAUUAUAUGGGACAUCUUUAUAUACCUUUUUCUUACAGUACUAAUUAUAUACCUCUUGAAUACAAUACAAUACAAUACAAUGUGUAUCUUAAUGAUAAAAUAAAAAAAACUAAUCACAUCAUGUUUAAUGUUUGAAUUGGUAGAUCUUCUAUAUUUGAAUGAUUAUUUCUUUGGCGCAAGCAAUUAUCUGAAUAUAGAUCUUUUAUCUCCCGAAUUUCUUUAGUUGAAUGCACAUUGUUUUCAUCGACAAUGAAUUCGACAUCACACUAUUACAUCCAUAGUCAUAUCCCUCAAUGCUAUACAUAAUGGAUACUUGAUGAAGAAAUUUCUAUUCAUCUUUGCGUGAUUCAACUAUGCUUCUACACCAAUAUGCAAUCACAUUGAUCAGAUCAUUGUAUUGUGUUUUUUAAAAAUAAAUAAUUUUUUUUAAUUUGAAACUUGCAUUUGUACUUUCUAAAUCAAUACAAAAAAAAAUAAAAUAUAAUCAAAUCAACAUAAUUUUAUGUAUGGAAUUGGAAGAAUUUGAAUAUUGAAAAAGAUUGAAAUUACAUGUGAUAUUCCAGCUUUUUACAUGUUGUAUCAUGAUUAAGUGUAAAUUGUCAUCAUCCAUGUUAUGAGAAAAUUGCUCUAUCUUUUUCAUUUUUUUUUUCAUUUUGAAUAACUUCAGCUUCAAUUAAAAUGCUUAAUGGAGUAUUAUAAUAGAAUUUCUCGUCGUAAAUAUCAAAAUUAUUUGAGAGAUUUUGAUUGAAGACAUAAAAGAAUACCCAUGAUAUCUCAUCUACCUUCAUAUUGUAGAAUGAUUAAAUGUAAAUUAUCACCCUCCAUGGUUUCACACAAUCAAUCCAUUAUUUUUAAUUUUUUUUGUUGAAUAACUGCAUUUCAAUUAAAAUACUUUAGUCAGUAUUUUAAUCCAAUUCAACAUCGUAAAUAUCAUCCCUAAUGAAGAGAUUUUGUGUUUCAAUUAGUGUAUUUUGAUGAUUUUUUGAAGAAGAUUAUUG
rnacentral:lncRNA from 1 species